rnacentral:rRNA from 1 species
AAUAGAUACCCUGGUAGUCCACGCUGUAAACGAUGAUUACUGGUUGUUAGCGAUAUAUAGCUAGUGACUGAGCGAAAGCAUUAAGUAAUCCACCUGGGGAGUACGUCGGCAACGAUGAAACUCAAAGGAAUUGACGGGGGCCCGCACAAGCGGAGGAACAUGUGGUUUAAUUCGAUGAUACGCGAGGAACCUUACCUGGGUUUAAAUGGGGAGUGACAGGUGUCGAAAGAUGCUUUUCCUUCGGGACACUCUUCAAGGUGCUGCAUGGUUGUCGUCAGCUCGUGCCGUGAGGUGUCGGGUUAAGUCCCAUAACGAGCGCAACCCUUGCCGAUAGUUGCCAUCACGUAAAGGUGGGCACUCUAUCGGGGACUGCCGGUGUAAACCGUGAGGAAGGUGGGGAUGACGUCAAAUCAGCACGGCCCUUACAUCCAGGGCUACACACGUGUUACAAUGGCCAGUACAGAGGGCCGCUACCCCGCGAGGGGAUGCCAAUCUCGAAAGCUGGUCUCAGUUCGGAUUGAAGUCUGGAACCCGACUUC